AAAGGAGCCUCUGUAGGGCCUAGAGGCAGAAGACACGGACCUGAGUGUGCAGAUACUUAAGGCCCUGCCCCUCCCUCCUCCAGGGGCAAGUGAAGAGCUCCAC